ensembl:lncRNA
GUUGAAAUCACCCGUUUGUCUCCAUCCAGGGGAAAGUAGAGAAAAGGCCCGACCCAGCCGCCGCCGCGCCCAGGCCCGAGCCCAGCGCGGGCACUAAAGUGGCUCCUCCCAAAACAGCCGUAUCAAAAGAGGGGGUCCCCAAACAGCCCAAUGGGAAAGUCCAGAUAGUCUCCAAAAAAGCGAACUACAGCCAUGUUCAGUCCAAGUGUGGUUCCAAGGACAAUAUUAAGCAUGUCCCUGGAGGUGGGAAUGUGCAGAUCCAGAACAAGAAAGUUGACCUUUCCAAAGUGUCCUCCAAGUGUGGCUCUAAAGCAAAUAUCAAGCAUAAGCCAGGUAGGAGUUUUACCAUUUCCUCAGGGUUUGUUGGUAGAUUUUGCACGUCCCUUUAACCCGGUCCUGGAUCGGGACUGAAGCUCUUUAAGGGGUUUGCUGCUUUCAGGGGGUGUCUC